CUUAGACGUGCACGUCGAGAGGUACAGGGGGUGCUUGCACCCCGCUGACGAGCGGCGGACGGGUGAGUAAUGCAUAGGAAUCUGCCCAGUAGUGGGGGAUAGCCCGGGGAAACCCGGAUUAAUACCGCAUACGCCCUUUGGGGGAAAGCAGGGGAUCUUCGGACCUUGCGCUAUUGGAUGAGCCUAUGUCGGAUUAGCUAGUUGGUGGGGUAAAGGCCUACCAAGGCGACGAUCCGUAGCUGGUCUGAGAGGAUGAUCAGCCACAUCGGGACUGAGACACGGCCCGAACUCCUACGGGAGGCAGCAGUGGGGAAUAUUGGACAAUGGGGGCAACCCUGAUCCAGCCAUGCCGCGUGUGUGAAGAAGGCUUUCGGGUUGUAAAGCACUUUCAGUGAGGAGGAAAACCUUCUGGUUAAUACCCAUGAGGCUUGACGUUACUCACAGAAGAAGCACCGGCUAACUCCGUGCCAGCAGCCGCGGUAAUACGGAGGGUGCAAGCGUUAAUCGGAAUUACUGGGCGUAAAGCGCGCGUAGGUGGUUUGAUAAGCGAGAUGUGAAAGCCCCGGGCUUAACCUGGGAACGGCAUUUCG
rnacentral:rRNA from 1 species